ACUCCCGUUGUAUGCUGGGAUUGUAGUCCGGCCGCCCUGUGACUAACGGCUGGAACCGCCUAAGACACCACCCCAGCCAGCAUGGCCGGCAGGAGCGCACCGCGCUGUCUCCCUCCAGGGAUCCGCACCGCCCUACAAUCCUGCUUUGUGCUGAGAUUGUAGUCCUGCAGGCGUACAACUAACAAGCUGGGUGCAGAUAAGAGACUACAGCUCCCCGCAUCCCAAGCAAAGGUCCCUCCUCUACGGAGCCCCUCCACGCGUCCACUGCGGUUCCGCCGUGCCAAGGGGAGCUUGGCUGUUCACGGGCCUCACCUGCUAGCGAGAAGAUAGCUUGGCCGGGCGGCUGAUCUCACCUUGUAAUUCUGACACUGUGUCUCCCGGGCUUGUCGGCUUCAUGACUUGUGCCCAAAGUUUGAUUUCUCGCAGACCAGGAGGACCCAUUGGACCCCCGGGCUGGCUGCAGGGCCCACACCUGGGUUAGACCUCGCACAGGGACGCUGCUGCCACUGUAAUAAAGCGUGCCUACACGCUUCUGAAACUGGUGUAGGAACAACCUCAGUUCUGUGAAAGGCGGACGCAGCAGGACAGAAUCUCCGUGGACAUCUGUCUGGAGGAGCAAUUUUACUGCGACAUUUUAAAGAAACAAAUUUAAUUGAUUUCCAAGGCUUGAGUGUGAUUAAAAAAAAAAAAUUAAAAGGUAAACUUCACCGUGCAGGAAGAAGCAUAGGAAAAGAGAGAGAGAAAAGAACAAAGAAAAAAAAGAAUAGCAAGUCUCUCCAAGUACUAUGGAAACAAACAGAAAGUGGAAUUAGGAAAAAAGAGAGGAAGAAGGUCUGAGUAGUCCAAGGGACACGGGAGGCCAGUUGGGAAGACCGCCCGGGCGAGACCAGGAAGAUCAAGGCCACAGUGAAUCACGAUCCCAUCCCUCUGCUCAACCUGAAUUGUACUGCUGCUGGCGAGAGAGAUCUGGUCGACCUUAGACAUGGCAAGGCGAGAGGUGAGGUCCAUCAGGUCGACCUUAGUCCAACGCUCACAGCCGACAUCUCUCUCAAAAUAAAUAAACAAAUCCAACAGUAAAUAUUUAACAAUGACAAAAAAAUUAAAGAACAAUACAUAAACAGGUUGCAGUUAACAAAAGUAAAAAGUAAUUAAUAUCACAAUUAAGAUCUUCUCCCCUGUCUCUCUGUUUGUCACACCCAGGCUGGAGUGUGUGACAAAAUAAAAAAUCUAAAAGAUCAACUUUAUUGUGCAGGAAGGAAUGUAGGAAAAUAGAGAAAAGAACAAAGAAGAAAAACAAAAGCAAAUCACUCUAAGUACUGUUACUGUGGAAACAAACUAAAAGUGGGUUAAAAAAAAAAAAAAACAGAGGCUGGGCGUGGUGGCUCAUGCCUGUAAUCCCAGCACUUUGGGAGGUCAAGGCAGGCAGAUCACGAGGUCAAGAAAUCAAGGCCAUCCUGGCCAACAUGGUGAAAUCCCGUCUCUACUAAAAAUACAAAAAUUAGCUGGGCUUGGUGGCGUAUGCCUGUAGUCCUAGCUACUCAGGAGGCUGAGGAAGGAGAAUCAUUUAAACCCAGGAGGUGGAGGUUGCAGUGAGCCAAUAUCAGCCACUGCACUCCAGCCUGGCAACAGAGUGAGACUCCAUCAAGAUCAACAACAACAAGAACAGCAAAAAACAGAUGAAGAAG
rnacentral:lncRNA from 1 species